CUCACAAUCCUGGGAUCAUGACCUGAGUCGAAAUCAAGAGUUGGAUGCUCAAUGGACUGAGCCACCCAGGUGCCCCCAUGAUUGUCUUUUUUUGGAACAAAGGAAGCAAAAAUCAUCUGCUUAGACUGUGGGAGGAAAUAGUGGAAGAAGAAUGGAACUGGUGAAAAGAGGUUCAAUUUAGCCUUUGAGCAAAAUGGAAGGAGAAUAAAAAGAGAUUUAAAGCUUUGGCUGAUUUUGAAAACAUACAAUUGUCUUAACAACAAUUUCUAAAUUUUUUAUAAUUUUCCCCCUCAAUUGUAUUUUUUAGACUGAAGACAGAAACCCAGGACCCAGACCCAGGACCAGAGUUUUAUAGGAUUAAUGCAAAAGAGGGACAAAAAGACAAAAGAGAGAAAGGAUGGAUUUGCAAUAAGGACUAAGGGAGUGGCCGCAGAAAUUGAAAACUGCCAAGACAAACUCAUGGAGCAAAGGGCAAUCAAUGAAAGACUGAUAUAAAUAACAAGAUAAAGAGUUGACACUGGGAGAGGGUCCCAUUCAGAGAAGUACCUUUCUUUCUGGAUAUUAUGAGCAUUAGAUGUUAAUAGGUAGGAUAUUAGAGCUGUUAAAAUCAAGAAUUUUGAAGACCGCAAACUGGGUUGGAAUCCCAGCUCCACUGGUAGUUGUAGAAAUUUGGGCAAGUUACAUUCUCUUAUGUCAAUUUAACUCCCCUGCAAAAUGGGAGAUGACCACCUAUCUUACAGUUAAGAAUUCAAGGAGUUAAUGUAUAGAAAGAGCACACUGCCCAGAACAGAAUAAAGUAUUCAGUAAAUAACAGUAACAGUUAUAUCCAGGGAAGUUUCUAGAGGGCAGUUACAAAAAGAAAAGGGAAGAAAUCAGAGUUAAAGAUAUGGGAAUUCUCUGACUAGAUUAAAAAAAAAAUUAUAUACAUAUAUAUAUAUAUAUAUAUAUAUA